AUUGAACGCUGGCGGCAGGCUUAACACAUGCAAGUCGAGCGGAGAGAGGUAGCUUGCUACCGAUCUUAGCGGCGGACGGGUGAGUAAUGCUUAGGAAUCUGCCUAUUAGUGGGGGACAACAUUUCGAAAGGAAUGCUAAUACCGCAUACGUCCUACGGGAGAAAGCAGGGGAUCUUCGGACCUUGCGCUAAUAGAUGAGCCUAAGUCGGAUUAGCCAGUUGGUGGGGUAAAGGCCUACCAAGGCGACGAUCUGUAGCGGGUCUGAGAGGAUGAUCCGCCACACUGGGACUGAGACACGGCCCAGACUCCUACGGGAGGCAGCAGUGGGGAAUAUUGGACAAUGGGCGCAAGCCUGAUCCAGCCAUGCCGCGUGUGUGAAGAAGGCCUUAUGGUUGUAAAGCACUUUAAGCGAGGAGGAGGCUACUCUAGUUAAUACCUAGAGAUAGUGGACGUUACUCGCAGAGUAAGCACCGGCUAACUCUGUGCCAGCAGCCGCCGUAACAC
rnacentral:rRNA from 1 species